rnacentral:rRNA from 1 species
ACUAACAAGGAUUCCCCUAGUAACUGCGAGUGAAGCGGGAAAAGCUCAAAUUUAAAAUCCCUCGGGAAUUGUAAUCUAGAGAAGUGUUUUCGGUCGUUGCCUCGGACAAGUCCUUUGGAACAAGGCGUCAUAGAGGGUGAGAAUCCCGUCCUUGCCGAGCUACCAACGUCUAUGUGAUACACUCUCGAAGAGUCGAGUUGUUUGGGAAUGCAGCUCAAAACGGGUGGUAAACUCCAUCUAAAGCUAAAUAUUGGCGAGAGACCGAUAGCGAACAAGUACCGUGAGGGAAAGAUGAAAAGCACUUUGGACAGAGAGUUAAACAGUACGUGAAAUUGUUGAAAGGGAAACGCUUGAAGUCAGUCGCGUUGCAGGGACUCAGCCGCAAGGUGCAUUUCUCGGUAACGGGUCAACAUCAGUUUCGAGCGCGGGAAAAGGGCUUGGGGAAUGUGGCAGCCUCGGCUGUGUUAUAGCCCCCUGUCGUACACCGCGCCCGGGACUGAGGACCGCUAAUAGGAUGUUGACGUAAUGGCUUUAAGC